rnacentral:lncRNA from 1 species
UGGACUCAUAUAGGGACCAGCCACAGGAGGGAGAGCAUCUCUGGGACCUGGGCUGCUCCUUAAGAGGCAGUGCUGUGUAACCAGAGAGCCCCUUCACCAGCUGGGUGAGUGCAGCUGUUCUUUCUUUCUGUCUAUGGCUGUUGCCCUACCUGUGAGUGCUUUGUCUGAUGUUGCCAAGAACCAUUUGGAAGUCAUUUAGUUUCUUCAUGAGCAGAACAAAGGCCAUGGUUUUCACGGCCACUUGUUGGAUAAUAAAGAGAAAGGGAAACAGUCUGUUCUCUGCUGGGUGGACUACUGAAAACAGCCAAGCACAACGGCUUUCCUUCUGCCUUUCUUUUUCCUUCAUCAAGAUAAACAUAAUAAGCAGCUGAAAAACGUAGGCUGUGCUUACAACAAAAGCUGGGGAUGGGCUACGUGAUCUCUACUGUCCCUUCCAACUCCUAUGACCCUGCGUCCUCAUGGCGGGACGCUGCAGCAGGAGGCAGGGAUGGGCCUGCACAGUUACAGCACUGUAGGGGCUGGGCUGAAGCAGUGACCGUGCUGGAGUGGGAAGUGCUGCAGAGCAAGGCAGGGAGCAAAAGCCCAAAGGAUAGAGCUGUUUAAGGUUGGACCUCGCAUCCAUCUUCAUAUCUUCUGAUAUAAGACAUUGGCCAGCACUGUCAGAGCCAUGCAGAUCCACUUAUCAGCAAGGAACUGACCAUUUACUGGAAGAUAACCUGAGAACUUGGUCGCCUCACCCCAGAGCAAGUCUUCUGACCCUGCUCUGUUUUCUAAUGUGCCCAUGCUCCAUGGUAUCACAGGUCCUGCCUGCAUUGCUAGGGCAGGCCCAGGCUCCAGGCAGGUGAUGGCUGUGCUGGUGGCAGAGUCCUGCAGUGCUCUGGGUGCUCACCAGCAGCUUGCUGCCUGCAGCACCUGCCUUGAAGAGUCUCAUAGUAGUGCAAAAAUGGAGGCCCAGCGCUGGGAAGGAAGUGGUGUGAUUUGUCCCCUGUGCACUUUCUCUGGGACCCUGAUACAGCUCUUCAGUUCCCUGCAAGCCUUUACAGCUCAUGACCUGAUGUUUCUUUUCCUUAAAAAUCUAUCUCCUGUUCUCCAGUCUGAAGCACUGAAAAUAAAACAUUGGCACGGCCACCAUCCCACUGGAGAGCAGCAGCUGAGACAGCAUCUUGGCCUUGCCAAUAAGAACCAAGUGGAGUAACCUGCAGUGAUUGACUUCGGUGCUUGCCAUCCCCACAGAAAGUGCAGGGGCUCUCAGCAGCAGCGUCACGGAGCAGCACUGUGCCCUGUCUGAUCAUCCUGUAAUGCUGAGAAACACCCGGAGCUGGGUGCUUAUUUCCAUUGUUUGUAACGCGCCCAAGUGUUUACAUAAUGUAAUUAUUUGAAAAUAACAUUAAUUUUAAAACAUACUGCCUUCUUGGAAUACAAAAUUAAGAAAAAAAAAAAAGAAAAGAACAUUUAACAAGUGCAGUUAAUCUGAAAUUACUUGGCAGGGAAGAGUCACCAUUGAUGUAUUUAACAAAAAAACUCAUUAAAACAAAAUACAGACGGAAAAUAAAAGAUGUUGUUUAAUGCA